UACGUAGGGUGCGAGCGUUAAUCGGAAUUACUGGGCGUAAAGCGUGCGCAGACGGUCAUGUAAGUCGGGUGUGAAAGCCCCGGGCUCAACCUGGGAAUUGCAUUCGAGACUGCAUGGCUAGGGUGCGGAAGAGGGAAGCGGAAUUUCCGGUGUAGCGGUGAAAUGCGUAGAGACCCGGAGGAACACCAGUGGCGAAGGCGGCUUCCUGGUCUGCAACUGACGCUGUGGCGCGAAAGCUAGGGGAGCAAACGGGAGUUAGAAAC
rnacentral:rRNA from 1 species